rnacentral:rRNA from 1 species
GUCGUCAAGAGGGAAACAACCCAGACUACCAGCUAAGGUCCCUAAAUCUUACUUAAGUGGAAAACGAUGUGAAGUUACUUAAACAACCAGGAGGUUGGCUUAGAAGCAGCCAUCCUUUAAAGAAAGCGUAAUAGCUCACUGGUCUAGUGAUUUUGCGCGGAAAAUAUAACGGGGCUAAAGUAAGUACCGAAGCUGUAGACUUAGUUUACUAAGUGGUAGGAGAGCGUUCUAUUUGCGUCGAAGGUAUACCGGUAAGGAGUGCUGGAGCGAAUAGAAGUGAGCAUGCAGGCAUGAGUAGCGAUAAUUAAUGUGAGAAUCAUUAACGCCGUAAACCCAAGGUUUCCUACGCGAUGCUCGUCAUCGUAGGGUUAGUCGGGUCCUAAGUCGAGUCCGAAAGGGGUAGACGAUGGCAAAUUGGUUAAUAUUCCAAUACCAACAUUAGUGUGCGAUGGAAGGACGCUUAGGGCUAAGGGGGCUAGCGGAUGGAAGUGCUAGUCUAAGGUCGUAGGAGGUUAUAUAGGCAAAUCCGUAUAACAAUACUCCGAGAACUGAAAGGCUUUUUGAAGUCUUCGGAUGGAUAGAAGAACCCCUGAUGCCGUCGAGCCAAGAAAAGUUUCUAAGUUUAGCUAAUGUUGCCCGUACCGUAAACCGACACAGGUGGGUGGGAUGAGUAUUCUAAGGCGCGUGGAAGAACUCUCUUUAAGGAACUCUGCAAAAUAGCACCGUAUCUUCGGUAUAAGGUGUGGUUAGCUUUGUAUUAGGAUUUACUCCGAAAGCAAGGAAACUUACAACAAAGAGUCCCUCCCGACUGUUUACCAAAAACACAGCACUCUGCUAACUCGUAAGAGGAUGUAUAGGGUGUGACGCCUGCCCGGUGCUCGAAGGUUAAUUGAUGGGGUUAGCAUUAGCGAAGCUCUUGAUCGAAGCCCGAGUAAACGGCGGCCGUAACUAUAACGGUCCUAAGGUAGCGAAAUUCCUUGUCGGUUAAAUACCGACCUGCAUGAAUGGCGUAACGAGAUGGGAGCUGUCUCAAAGAGGGAUCCAGUGAAAUUGUAGUGGAGGUGAAAAUUCCUCCUACCCGCGGCAAGACGGAAAGACCCCGUGGACCUUUACUACAGCUUGACACUGCUACUUGGAUAAGAAUGUGCAGGAUAGGUGGGAGGCUUUGAGUAUAUGACGCCAGUUGUAUAUGAGCCAUUGUUGAGAUACCACUCUUUCUUAUUUGGGUAGCUAACCAGCUUGAGUUAUCCUCAAGUGGGACAAUGUCUGGUGGGUAGUUUGACUGGGGCGGUCGCCUCCCAAAUAAUAACGGAGGCUUACAAAGGUUGGCUCAGAACGGUUGGAAAUCGUUCGUAGAGUAUAAAGGUAUAAGCCAGCUUAACUGCAAGACAUACAAGUCAAGCAGAGACGAAAGUCGGUCUUAGUGAUCCGGUGGUUCUGUGUGGAAGGGCCAUCGCUCAAAGGAUAAAAGGUACCCCGGGGAUAACAGGCUGAUCUCCCCCAAGAGCUCACAUCGACGGGGAGGUUUGGCACCUCGAUGUCGGCUCAUCGCAUCCUGGGGCUGGAGCAGGUCCCAAGGGUAUGGCUGUUCGCCAUUUAAAGCGGUACGCGAGCUGGGUUCAGAACGUCGUGAGACAGUUCGGUCCCUAUCUGCCGUGGGCGUAAGAAGAUUGAAGAGAUUUGACCCUAGUACGAGAGGACCGGGUUGAACAAACCACUGGUGUAGCUGUUGUUCUGCCAAGAGCAUCGCAGCGUAGCUAAGUUUGGAAAGGAUAAACGCUGAAAGCAUCUAAGCGUGAAGCCAACUCUAAGAUGAAUCUUCUCUAAGCUCUCUAGAAGACUACUAGUUUGAUAGGCUGGGUGUGUAAUGGAUGAAAGUCCUUUAGCUGACCAGUACUAAUAGAGCGUUUGGCUUAUCUUU